rnacentral:rRNA from 1 species
CGGCCGCGUCGACACCUUACCAGGUCUUGACAUCCCGAUGCAUAGUGCAGAGAUGCAUGAAGUCCUUCGGGACAUCGAGACAGGUGGUGCAUGGUUGUCGUCAGCUCGUGUCGUGAGAUGUUGGGUUAAGUCCCGCAACGAGCGCAACCCUUAUUGCCAGUUACUACGCAAGAGGACUCUGGCGAGACUGCCGUUGACAAAACGGAGGAAGGUGGGGAUGACGUCAAAUCAUCAUGCCCUUUAUGACCUGGGCUACACACGUACUACAAUGGCGUUUAACAAAGAGAAGCAAUACCGCGAGGUGGAGCAAAACUCAAAAACAACGUCUCAGUUCAGAUUGCAGGCUGCAACUCGCCUGCAUGAAGUCGGAAUUGCUAGUAAUCGCGGAUCAGCAUGCCGCGGUGAAUACGUUCCCGGGCCUUGUACACACGUCGACGCGGCCG